CCUGUCUUCACUCACCAACGUACCCCCAAGCACUCAGCACCCAUCUGACACAGAAGAGACAUGAAAAUAUCAUCAUUGAACCAACGCAUGAGACUCACUAGAGAGAGAAAGCUCACAGGCUUCACUGCUCACACCCCACCCCAUUCCUGGCACAAAUAUGGGUGGGUGGCUGGGUAAGUUGUUUUCUCAGAAGAAAGCAGUCUUAUGAUAAAAACCUGAUUCCAAAUGUCCACUCUCUGUACUUAAAGAUAAGUCACGCCCUAAGAGAUGUGAAAUGAGGAUUUCCUUUGAUCUAGUUUCUGCUUAACGCUGAAAAGCUUUGAUCCUCUGCAUUCUCUGACAAAUGAAACUCAACCAGUAAUAAGCAGCCACUAAACUGGUCAUAAUUUUCUGUGCCUGGAACAAUAAACCAACUGGCUGAUGUCUAGAAAGGGCAUUUGAGAAAAUGAAAAAUAAUUUCUAGGAAUACAAUGGAACCCACCACUUGGUACACCCAAACAACCAUAUUUAAGAACUGUUAAAAACAAGACAACAGGCCUCAAAUGGCAUCACUUAUGCUAAGCCCCACAUCACCAACUGGGACUUCAUUAUAUUUUUGGCUCUCCCAGUAAAUGGAGCCUUAAACUAGGUAGUCAGGAACCAUCUGGGCCGCACUAGUGGGGUCUCUGCCUGACAGACCCCUGCCCGCCCCUGAAGAAAAGUAACUUUGCAUUAACCACCCACUUCUGGGCCUAGUUUAUUUCCCUUACAAACUUGUGUUUGUAAGUCGUUCAUGCCAAACAGCUUCCGGAGCACCUUUCUUUGUAUUAGACUGGAUGCAGCUUGAUUCAAACUGACUUUUGCUCAGUUAAACUCUUAAAAAGUUUAAUAUGACUCAGUUUAUCUUUUAACAGUUCUGUUAGUAAGAAGCAGAACCAAAGGAGACCCCAGCAGGCCCAGGAACGACGAUGAGCAACCAGGCACAGUACCUGCGGAGCCCGGGAGUUCACGGCCUCCCUGCGCCCGUCCACCGUCCACCUCGGGGCCUCUGGCUUCUGCUUCACGAGCUUUCAGGAUUCACUUCUAGUGACCAGGAUGAGACCCACCGGGACACCCCCAUACACCUGUGUUCCCAGGACCCAGGAUCACAUCUGCGGGAUUGGAAACUGCCUGAUUAGAUACUUGCUCAAAUAAACUCUCAAAAUGUCUAAUAAGCCUCAGUUUAUCUUUUAACAGAACCCAAAAAUAACUGCUUCCUAUUACCAAAAAGUCAAAAUGCCAGCUUCUGAAAAAAUGUACCUUUUAGAAAUGGAGAGAAACUGUGACUCUCUAUCUGGCUACUCACAUUCUUUGUGAUUCAUUCUGCUCAUCGUUCUUCUGUGUGUGUGUGUACGCUUAGUUGCUCAGUCGUGUCUGACUCUUUGCAACCCCAUGGAGACUACCAGGCUCCUCUGUCCAUGAGAUUUUUCCAGGCAAGAAUACUGGAGUGGGUAGCCAUUCCCUCCUGCAGGGGAUCUUCCCGUUCCAAAGAUUGAACCCCGCUCUCCUGCACUAAAGGAAGAUUCUUUUCUGUCUGAGCCACCAGGAAAGCCCCAUUUCUCUGCUAUUGCCUCUCAAACCUGACAAGCUCCUCGGGCCACUCUGUGCUCUCUGAGCUCACUUUUUCAUCCAUGAGGAUUUCUUUCUUCAAUUGAUAUGGACUUGGUGCUUUAAUUAAGUGCUCUACCUCAAAUAUAUAGUUCUUUUCUCAAAAUGUUACUUUUUUUUUAAAUUCAUAAAAAUAUAAAACUUCAUAGCUGUCAUGGCCCACAGAGCCGUUAUUCUCAAUUUUUAACCUAAUUUUGUUCAAUGUGGAAAACCAUUUGGGUUAUAUCUGAGUCCUUAAGUCGUUUUAGUUUGUGCAUCAGAGGAAACAUUGAGAUAACGUGAGUUGUGAGACUUGGAACAAAUAGGCUCUGUGGGGCAUGGGCACAAUGUCAAGCCCAGGCAAAUGAAAGGUUGAGGAGCUUCCAGAACAUGUGAAAGUUCCGACUCUGUGGUCCACAAGAGAAGCAGGUCACGGCAGUAAACAGCUCCACUCAAAGAAUCAUAAAGUGGUGAAACAUAGCCAGAGAUUGAACCAUAACUGCGGGUGAUUUUACAGUCACUGGGAGACACUGCUCUGCUAAGAACUGUAUUUAGUGAUUGCUGACAUUUUUAGUGUUGUUUUGAGUCUUAAAGUUUUUAAUAUUGCUACACCAUAGUUUGCUCUUUCAAAGUAGGCUGCAAACACAAAAAGAAUGAGAAUCACUAACUUAGAAAGAGUAUCAACCAG
ensembl:lncRNA